ACCUUCUCAUGAGCUCCUCUUAAUCCUAUCGGUGAUUAUGCACGGAUUCGCACGAGAAGCAGAGCCAAAGCACAGUCGAAACAGACUUAGCCCUGUCUGCAGGCGGGUUUUGUCCAUGUCCGCUGUGCAACAAGU
ensembl:snoRNA SNORA75 Small nucleolar RNA SNORA75